GGAAUUACUGGGCGUAAAGCGUGCGCAGGCGGUUUUGUAAGCCAGAUGUGAAAUCCCCGGGCUUAACCUGGGAAUGGCAUUUGGGACUGCAAGGCUUGAGUGCGGCAGAGGAGACUGGAAUUCCUGGUGUAGCAGUGAAAUGCGUAGAUAUCAGGAGGAACACCGAUGGCGAAGGCAGGUCUCUGGGCUGACACUGACGCUCAUGCACGAAAGCGUGGGGAGCAAACAGG
rnacentral:rRNA from 1 species